rnacentral:sRNA from 1 species
GGGUGAUCUGGCUGAGGCAUCUGUCACUCAUUGAUCUCAGGGGUGAUGGGACUGACCUGGCUGAUUAGGCCACUUCUUCAGGCACAGCCUCCCCGAGGCUGCUCAAGCACAGAGAAAUUUGUCUUUCCAAUAAGUUAUUACAAGCUAUAGCCUUCUUUACUAGGACUUCCAAAUGAGCUCUCAAGAAAUAGUCUGCAAUCCAAAGUUCAGUAAGGCGAGUAUCAAAUAACAAUAACGAAUAAUUACCUAAGUAAAGUUCUUGAUCU